UGGGGGAUAUUGCACAAUGGGGGAAACCCUGAUGCAGCGACGCCGCGUGAGGGAAGAAGGUCUUCGGAUUGUAAACCUUUGUCUUUGGGGACGAAUAAUGACGGUACCCAAGGAGGAAGCCACGGCUAACUACGUGCCAGCAGCCGCGGUAAUACGUAGGUGGCAAGCGUUGUCCGGAAUUAUUGGGUGUAAAGGGUGCGUAGGCGGGAUUGCAAGUCAGAUGUGAAAUACCAUGGCUUAACUGUGGGGCUGCAUUUGAAACUGCGAUUCUUGAGUGAAGUAGAGGCAAGCGGAAUUCCCAGUGUAGCGGUGAAAUGCGUAGAUAUUGGGAGGAACACCAGUGGCGAAGGCGGCUUGCUGGGCUUUUACUGACGCUGAUGCACGAAAGCAUGGGGAGCAAACAGG
rnacentral:rRNA from 2 species